GGUUACUUCUAUCUUCCUUUGGAAUAUACAAAUUUAGGACAAUCUUGAUUGGCUCAUUAACUUAAAUUCACGUCUUACAUUCACCAGUUAUGGCGAUUCGUGUGUGAAAACCCUAAGUGACGCAAAGUUCGCAUAUUUGGAAAAACUUCUCAGUGUCGUCAUAGUCGCGCCCGCGACUCAGAUUAUAGCCGAGAAAGAAUCAGCCUAAUUUGCAUCGCUGAGCCAGAACGAGAGCGAGAAAGAAGGAAAAAUAUUCUCGCUCGUGUCGCCGAUCGAACACGAGAGCGAGAAAGAGGGAAUGAUAUUCUCUCUCUCGCUCGGCGCGCCGACGAUUGCCGAGCGCGUGGCUGACACAAAUAGACCGACUCGGCUGUGCGUGCGUGCGUGGUGGGGGAAAUCCGCUGGCAAGCCCGUCACCGAUUUUCUAUCACUGCCGUGUGAUUGAAAGUGGACGUAGCACGGACUUCCAUCAAGAGGAGACUUUAUCGGCGCGCCAGAAAAUGGAUGCAGCAAAUAGUUCCCGGCUAAAAAUGCAGAGGGCGAUAUCAAACCGUCGCGAAAAAGCGCCUCAAGCAAAACGUGGCCAUGGCCGCUCUUAAGGCCAUCACACAUAAAAUUUCGUAAGAACGUAAGACGUAAACUUAAGAUGUAAGACGUAAAGUCCAUGACACACAGUUGGCGUAAAACAUAAAAGUCAGCCAAUGGAAAAUGCAGAAAGAUUCCUUUGCAUUUCGUAAAGUUUAACCUGAAAUGUCAAUGUUAGUACCAUUCCACCAAACAGUCAUUUAUUGAAAGAAUUUGUUGAACACUUGCAAAUGACAGAAGAGGAUAUAUUACUUACAGGAGGAUAUAUUACUUACCAUCAAAUGCCCAUCGC